UUUUAUACAAAUCAUUACGUGUAACCUGCAGUGAGUUCUUUCUGCUGCUGAACGCAGCACUGCUGUUAAAGGCCUGCUAUUUCCCCCAAGUAACUUCCAAGAAGCAUCGCUGUGGAUGAAAACUGCUGUUCUGAUGAAUGGUAGCGCGUGCUCCCAUUAGGAGAGGCAUGAGGGGUCUUAAUUCCCUGGAUUCAGCAUAAUGAGUAAUGGAAUCAAUUCUGUUUGUUGUUUCUUGUGGAAAACAAUCGAUACAUUUGCAGGAAGAGCGAAUGAGAACAGAGAUGACUGAUUUUAAUUGUCUGUUUUUGCAAGUGGAGGAUGGGACGCUCCGGUUCCGAUUUGUCUAUGGGGAUUGUUUGCCGGAGGGGAAUUGUGACAUGCAGGACUGUAACUGCUGAAAUCCUGAGAAAGAUGAUCAUUUGGAGAAGUUUAGGGUAAUCUUGCAGAAGGGCAGAGCAUCAGUUCUGCUCAGGUUUGCUGUGUGUUGGGAGCUUCUCCUCGGUCAUCCAUAGAAGAUAUGAAGCAUCCUGCCUUCUCUCCCACUGUGACAAGAGCCGUGCCCCGAGAGCUGUAGAUGGAAAUGUAGUUCAAACCACAGCAUGACCGUCCAUUCGUCUGCUUAUUUGUGAAAGCUGUUGGUGAGGCAGUGGGAGGUGUGGGACUGAGGAUGGAGCAGGGAGAGCCAUGAGAGCAGCAGGAGACAGCGCUGGGAGCAUCAGAUGGAGAGCUGUUUGUUUCACACUACUGAAGCUUGCACCUGGAUCCAAAUCAAAAUACAGGAGAGCUUUGCUGCAGAACACCACGUCUAGCCCUGGCAUCAGAAGAGCACUUAGCAACAGCAAAGCCUUCCAUUCUGAGAUGGCUGCUCUGUGGGAAGCAGUUCUUCACUGAGAGGAGAGGAAACAUUCACUCCAUGGUCCUCUGGUGUCUGUGACUUUGUUCAGUGUUGCUCUCCUGCGUUAUAGAGUUCUACUCGUCAGUAACUUCCAUCACUGCAGACCCAAACACUUGCAAAGAACACAAGUGCUGGCAUUUCCUUUUUAAGGAGGAGUGUAUCAAAGUGCCAGGAGCACGGCCUGGUCCCAGCAGAGCAGUGGCAGAACUGGAACAGUGUGUGACAUAACUGAGUGCUGUGGGCUCACAGUGCCUUGGAGCAGUGUGGGAGCUGCAAAGAGUCCUUCGUCCUUCCCAGUUCCUCUCUGAGAAGUCAUUGGUGUUUGGUGCCAUCCAGAGAGCAAGUAUGGGAUCAAGAAAUACUUUUUCUCUAGGGUGUUAUUAUGUACUGUGGGGCUCCUCUUUCUGAUGUUUGAAGUACUGAAGCUGUGUGUAAAGUUGCCAUUUAUCUGUGCUUUUGUUUAGGAUGUUAACAUAAUAGAGUGGCUUCUUCAGGAGCUGUGUUCUUGACCACACUCUGAGCUGCUGUAAAUGCAGCAUCCAUCCACAGGUCAGGGAAAGCUGUUCAGAAUUUGUGAUGCACAAAUAAACAGCUGUUUGUCCAU
rnacentral:lncRNA from 7 species